rnacentral:rRNA from 1 species
GACGAACGCUGGCGGCGUGCUUAACACAUGCAAGUCGAACGGAAAGGCCCUGCGUUUGUGGGGUGCUCGAGUGGCGAACGGGUGAGUAACACGUGAGUAACCUGCCCGUGACUUUGGGAUAACUUCAGGAAACUGGGGCUAAUACCGGAUAGGAGCUCCUGCUGCAUGGUGGGGGUUGGAAAGUUUCGGCGGUUGGGGAUGGACUCGCGGCUUAUCAGCUUGUUGGUGGGGUAGUGGCUUACCAAGGCUUUGACGGGUAGCCGGCCUGAGGGGGUGACCGGCCACCUUGGGCCUGCGAUACGGCCCAGACUCCUACGGGGGGCAGCAGUGGGGCAUAUUGCCCAAUGGGCCGAAGCCUGAUGCAGCGACGCCGCGUUCGGGAUGCCGGCCUUCGGGUUGUAAACCGCUUUCGCCUGUGACGAAGCGUUCGUGACGGUACUGGGUAAAGAAGCACCGGCUAACUACGUG